rnacentral:rRNA from 1 species
CCGUUUAUCAAAAACAUUGCCUCCUGCUUCCCCAUAAGAGGUACAUCCUGCCCAGUGAUUCAUUAAACGGCCGCGGUACCCUGACCGUGCAAAGGUAGCAUAAUCAUUUGCCUUUUAAUUGGAGGCUAGUAUGAACGGACAAAUGAGGAUUAAGCUGUCUCUUCAAGAAAAAUAAAAAUUAAACCUCAGGUGAAGAUGCCUGAAUAAAAAUAAAAGACAAGAAGACCCUAUUGAGCUUGACUUCAACCUUACAUAUAUUAAUAUUUAUAUUUAAAUAUCUAAAGGAGCGAGUUUGGUUGGGGCGACACAGGAAAACAAAAAUCUUCCUCUUCAAUUUAAAGUCUAUUGACUUCAAUGACCCGAUUUAUUCGAUUAAAAGAAAAAGCUACCAUAGGGAUAACAGACUAAUCCUUUCUAAAGAGCCCACAUUGAUAGAAGGGAUUGGCACCUCGAUGUUGGCUUAGAAUAUCCCCUCGGUGCUAGCCGCCGAGAAAGGUUGGUUUGUUCAACCAUAAAAAUUCUACGUGAUCUGAGUUCGCC